rnacentral:rRNA from 1 species
AUGGCUCAGGAUUAACGCUGGCGGCGUGCCUAAUACAUGCAAGUCGAAUGGUAGUAGCAAUACAAACCAUGGCGAACGGGUGAGUAACACGUAGGCAACCCAACUUUAAGACGAGGAUAACCGUUGGAAACGACGGAUAAUACUGGAUAGGACAUCACGAAGGGCAUCCUUAGAUGUUUAAAGGUUACUAUGCCACUUAGAGAGGGGCCUGCGGCGCAUUAGCUAGUUGGUGAGAUAACAGCCCACCAAGGCGAUGAUGCGUAGCCGGACUGAGAGGUUGAACGGCCACAAUGGAACUGAGAACGGUCCAUACUCCUACGGGAGGCAGCAGUAGGGAAUUUUCGGCAAUGGGCGGAAGCCUGACCGAGCAACGCCGCGUGAACGAAGAAGUUAUUCGUAAUGUAAAGUUCUUUUAUCUGGGAAGAAAAAACAAAUUGACGGUACCAGAUGAAUAAGCUCCGGCUAACUACGUGCCAGCCGCAGC